rnacentral:lncRNA from 1 species
UAGGAGCAAGAAGGGUUUAAAGACUCUCUCUUCUCAUUCGAUGGGAUGCUCUUAUGGUGUAUAGAGGUGCCAUAUGAUUAAAUCCCAUAAAGAAAAAUGCGAAAGACAGAAUUUACCUUCUACAAAAUCUUAGAUCUUGAAAUCCUAGAUUUGUUGUAUGUGAUACAAAGUUGCAUGAAAUGUAAAAUAUCUAAUCUAUAUGAUUAAAAUUAUUUUGAUCAUGAAAAAAUAAAAUUUAAAAUUAUAAAAAAUUUAGAUAUGAUCUAAAAAGAUAUUGAUGAUUGAUUUUAUUUUAGUAUUAUGCAAGAUUUUUCAGAUCUGAAAUUUUUUAAAACAUGCUCGCACAGUUACUAAGCCG